AAAAGCAUGCAAGUCGAACGGCAGCGCGGGAGCAAUCCUGGCGGCGAGUGGCGAACGGGUGAGUAAUACAUCGGAACGUGCCCAAUCGUGGGGGAUAACGCAGCGAAAGCUGUGCUAAUACCGCAUACGAUCUACGGAUGAAAGCAGGGGAUCGCAAGACCUUGCGCGAAUGGAGCGGCCGAUGGCAGAUUAGGUAGUUGGUGAGGUAAAGGCUCACCAAGCCUUCGAUCUGUAGCUGGUCUGAGAGGACGACCAGCCACACUGGGACUGAGACACGGCCCAGACUCCUACGGGAGGCAGCAGUGGGGAAUUUUGGACAAUGGGCGCAAGCCUGAUCCAGCCAUGCCGCGUGCAGGAUGAAGGCCUUCGGGUUGUAAACUGCUUUUGUACGGAACGAAACGGCCUUUUCUAAUAAAGAGGGCUAAUGACGGUACCGUAAGAAUAAGCACCGGCUAACUACGUGCCAGCAGCCGCGGUAAUACGUAGGGUGCAAGCGUUAAUCGGAAUUACUGGGCGUAAAGCGUGCGCAGGCGGUUAUGUAAGACAGUUGUGAAAUCCCCGGGCUCAACCUGGGAACUGCAUCUGUGACUGCAUAGCUAGAGUACGGUAGAGGGGGGAUGGAAUUCCGCGUGUAGCAGUGAAAUGCGUAGAUAUGCGGAGGAACACCGAUGGCGAAGGCAAUCCCCUGGACCUGUACUGACGCUCAUGCACGAAAGCGUGGGGAGCAAACAGGAUUAGAUACCCUGGUAGUCCACGCCCUAAACGAUGUCAACUGGUUGUUGGGUCUUCACUGACUCAGUAACGAAGCUAACGCGUGAAGUUGACCGCCUGGGGAGUACGGCCGCAAGGUGAAACCUCA
rnacentral:rRNA from 1 species